AGGCUGCAGAUUUACCAGGAGAGGACUGAAGCCUUGUAAUGCCCUUUGAGAUCUACUAUAAGGAGAGAUGUCAUCAUCCUCCAACUGCUUUGAUGUUACAAGAGAUUACAUUGAGGUAUGAUUAGAAGGGAUGCUGGAAUUAUGCCCACCUCUCCUCCCAGGAUUUUUAAGAGAGAUAUUACCAAGAUUGACCUGGAAAUUCUCAGUAUGAGAAAAAUAAAUGAAGCCUCAGACCCAAAUCUUCUAACAUUUAAAUCAUAGAUCCUCAAGAACUUGAAGCAAUUGGAAAAAAAGUAUGUUCAUAUCAUAAAGAAGAGG